rnacentral:sRNA from 1 species
GGAGGAACGACCUCCCCCAAUGUGGGAAAAUAUCAGGCCGACCUGAU